rnacentral:rRNA from 1 species
AUUGAACGCUGGCGGCAUGCCUUGCACAUGCAAGUCGAGCGGCAGCACGGGUGCUUGCACCUGGUGGCGAGUGGCGAACGGGUGAGUAAUACAUCGGAACAUGUCCUGUAGUGGGGGAUAGCCCGGCGAAAGCCGGAUUAAUACCGCAUACGAUCUACGGAUGAAAGCGGGGGACCUUCGGGCCUCGCGCUAUAGGGUUGGCCGAUGGCUGAUUAGCUAGUUGGGGGGGUAAAGGCCUACCAAGGCGACGAUCAGUAGCUGGUCUGAGAGGACGACCAGCCACACUGGGACUGAGACACGGCCCAGACUCCUACGGGAGGCAGCAGUGGGGAAUUUUGGACAAUGGGCGAAAGCCUGAUCCAGCAAUGCCGCGUGUGUGAAGAAGGCCUUCGGGUUGUAAAGCACUUUUGUCCGGAAAGAAAUCCUUGGCCCUAAUACGGUCGGGGGAUGACGGUACCGGAAGAAUAAGCACCGGCUAACUACGUG